UACGUAGGGCGCAAGCGUUGUCCGGAAUUAUUGGGCGUAAAGAGCUCGUAGGCGGCCAGUUGCGUCCGCUGUGAAAUCCCAGGGCUUAACCCUGGGCGUGCAGUGGAUACGGGCUGGCUGGAGGCAGGCAGGGGAGAACGGAAUUCCCGGUGUAGCGGUGAAAUGCGCAGAGAUCGGGAGGAACACCAGUGGCGAAGGCGGCUACCUGGACCAGCACUGACACUGAAGCACGAAAGCGUGGGGAGCAAACAGG
rnacentral:rRNA from 1 species